rnacentral:pre_miRNA from 1 species
ACAGUUAGGGCCUGAUCCAUAGCCCACUGAAGUCAACAGAAGUCUUUCCAUUGACUUCACUGGGCUUUGGAUCAGGCCUUUAUGGC